rnacentral:rRNA from 1 species
AUUGAACGCUGGCGGAAUGCUUUACACAUGCAAGUCGAACGGCAGCACGGGGGCAACCCUGGUGGCGAGUGGCGAACGGGUGAGUAAUACAUCGGAACGUGCCCAGUCGUGGGGGAUAACGUAGCGAAAGUUACGCUAAUACCGCAUACGAUCUACGGAUGAAAGCGGGGGACCGUAGGGCCUCGCGCGAUUGGAGCGGCCGAUGUCAGAUUAGGUAGUUGGUGAGGUAAAGGCUCACCAAGCCGACGAUCUGUAGCUGGUCUGAGAGGACGACCAGCCACACUGGGACUGAGACACGGCCCAGACUCCUACGGGAGGCAGCAGUGGGGAAUUUUGGACAAUGGGCGCAAGCCUGAUCCAGCCAUUCCGCGUGCAGGACGAAGGCCUUCGGGUUGUAAACUGCUUUUGUACGGAACGAAAAGGCUCUGGUUAAUACCUGGGGCUCAUGACGGUACCGUAAGAAUAAGCACCGGCUAACUCCGUGCCAGCCGCCGCGGUAA